CGACCGCUGGCGGCGUGCUUAACACAUGCACGUCGAACGGAAAGGCCCUGCUUGCAGGGUACUCGAGUGGCGAACGGGUGAGUAACACGUGGGUGAUCUGCCCUGCACUUCGGGAUAAGCCUGGGAAACUGGGUCUAAUACCGGAUAGGAGCCAUUUUUAGUGUGAUGGUUGGAAAGUUUUUUCGGUGUAGGAUGAGCUCGCGGCCUAUCAGCUUGUUGGUGGGGUAAUGGCCUACCAAGGCGGCGACGGGUAGCCGGCCUGAGAGGGUGGACGGCCACAUUGGGACUGAGAUACGGCCCAGACUCCUACGGGAGGCAGCAGGGGGGAAUAUUGCACAAUGGGCGCAAGCCUGAUGCAGCGACGCCGCGUGGGGGAGGACGGCCUUCGGGUUGUAAACUCCUUUCGCUAGGGACGAAGCUUUUUGUGACGGUACCUAGAGAAGAAGCACCGGCUAACUACGUG
rnacentral:rRNA from 1 species